rnacentral:rRNA from 1 species
UACAGAGGUCUCAAGCGUUGUUCGGAAUCACUGGGCGUAAAGGGUGCGUAGGCGGCCUGUUGCGUCCGCUGUGAAAGCCCGGGGCUUAACCCCGGGUCGGCAGUGGAUACGGGCAGGCUAGGAGGUAGGUAGGGGAGAAUGGAAUUCCCGGUGUAGCGGUGAAAUGCGCAGAUAUCGGGAGGAACACCGGUGGCGAAGGCGGUUCUCUGGGACGGUACUGACGGCUGAGACGCGAAAGCGUGGGGAGCGAACAGG